CCUACGGGAGGCAGCAGUGGGGAAUAUUGCACAAUGGGGGAAACCCUGAUGCAGCGACGCCGCGUGAGUGAAGAAGCGCCUCGGCGCGUAAAGCCCUGUCAGCAGGGAAGAAAAUGACGGUACCUGAAGAAGAAGCCCCGGCUAACUACUUGCCAGCAGCCGCGGUAAUACGUAGGGGGCAAGCGUUAUCUGGAUUUACUGGGUGUAAAGGGGGCGCAGACGGCGAUGCAAGCCAGGAGUGAAAGCCCGGGGCUCAACCCCGGGACUGCUCUUGUAACUGCGUGGCUGGAGUGCAGGAGGGGCAGGCGGAAUUCCUGGUGUAGCGGUGAAAUGCGUAGAUAUCAGGAGGAACACCGGUGGCGAAGGCGGCCUGCUGGACUGCAACUGACGUUGAGGCACGAAAGCGUGGGGAGCAAACAGGAUUAGAUACCCCAGUAGUC
rnacentral:rRNA from 1 species